rnacentral:lncRNA from 1 species
UUGGUUGACUCGAAUUCAUACUAGGACAAAGGAAAGAAAAUGUAAUUUAUAUCGAUAUUAUAUUUUGUUCUCGUCAAUGCAUGACAUCAUGUUUUAACAAAGCCUAAUUUACAUACGUAGUAUUAAUUAUUAUUUUGUCUAAUAGUCGGAAAAAAGAUCGAAGAAUGUACGAUCCUAACGAUAUCAUUCUUUCCAAUAGAGUAUUUUGUUUGUGUUCGCAUACAUAGCAACUAUUUCAACAAGGAUAAGCGAGGAUACUAAUUCAUAUAUGUACAUACUACAAUACACUAUUCGAAGGUUAAAGUAAUUAAAAAUUUAUUUAUUUAAUAUACUCUUACAAAUUUUAUAGAAUUUUUCUAUUUUUUUAUUAAAAUAUAUAAUAAUCGUUGACCGAUAAGUCUGUGCAGUAUUUAAUGACAAUUGUAAAAUAAAGGAAAAAAUAAUACGCAAGCGCAUUAAAAGACUUCUGAUGUCUUUGAUAAAGACGCUUCAUCAAAACAAACGUGAUAAAAUUCAUUUGCCAAAUUUUGAUUCUAAUGAUUUGAACAUAAGGUUCGAUUUAGAAAGACCAAUGGAGAUCGAUAAUAAAGGCGCCAGUUGAUAUAAAAUUUCAAUACAUGACAUUAGUCAUUGCAGAAAUUCUGAAGAUUUCAAAAUCAAGCAUAGAAAACCAUUUAAAAAUUCUUGAAUAUGCGAAUAAAGUCAAUAGUAACUUAAAAAAGUUUAUCUGAUUAAACAUAUUACUAUAUGCAAUUUAUUUUUGAAAUGUGAAAAAAAUCGUGGUGCAAGCACGAUGAAUGAGCUUAAAACACUUCAAAAAUAAAAUUUUAUUUAUGGAAAGGUUUGUUGUCAAUUAUCAAUGUGAUGAAAUUAGAUACACAUAGUGUUUUUUGAUCCUUGAUUCUAAGGAAUGAAACGAUUAAUUCAAAUGUGUAUUGUUGACAGCUGGAUGAAUUAACACUAAACCUACAAAUACUUCAUGUACAGGGGGCUAAAAAAAAAAGUCCGAUAUUUUAAGGACUUAUAGUAUUUAUCAAGAGGAGUAUAAAAUGUCCAAUUUACAUGAGUUCUAAAACCAAUACUUCCAAUGUAAAUUAACUUUUAUUAUUUAUGAGCAUUCGAUAUUGUGAACAAAUCUUUUGGUAACAUAUUGAAUUUAUGCAAAGGAAUUUGCUUAUAAAUAUUUUAAUUCAAGAUUGUCAAGAUAUGAUGAAUGAAAGAAAGCAAAAUCUAUUACUAAUAUAAACUAAGAUUACUUUAGAGCCGCAAAUAUAAUAUUUACGGAUUAUAGAUAUUUCAGAAUGCCUUCCUUCCAUUGGAAUGCAAUUUUGACAUCUAUGAAUCAUAGAUUGAUGUACACUUUCAAAUAUUCCUUUAACUAGUGUAUUUCUAAGCAAAUUCGUCCUUAGUAAUUUUACACUUUCAAUUCAUGUCAGUUAGUGCUAAAAAUUCUUAGAUAUUGGACAUUUUUUAACACCCUGUAUAUCUAUUCCUACCAUGACUGGUUAAAAUGAUCGAUUUAAAAAAAAUUAUAUUUUGUAUACUUGAACAUUAAUAAUAGUCAAUUUGAUAGUGAAUUAAAUAACGAAUGAAAUAACUUUAACAAAUUGGUAAAAUAAAUUUAUUUUUGUAUCCAUUUCAAUACAAAUAUUCUCCUUUAAAUGUUAUCUCUAUCCGAGAACUCUAGUUCAUUAGUUGUGUAAAAUAAGUCCAAGAUAUUGAUUUAAUUUUUCAUGCAACUGAAAUCAUUAAAAAUUAACCAAUUUCUAAUGUUGUUCAAAUAGUAAAAUAUGACUUAAAAUUAUAAUCAUAAUUUAAAUUUGUACAUAAAGCGAUACACAUGUUGAUAUUACAAUAAAUAUCAUUGAUAAAGAUUGAGUACACUUUACAAUUAAUAUUACACAGUAGUUCUAGUGCUAGUGUUAGCAAAUUUAUUCAUUCUAUUUCUUUUAAUGAAUUAUUAAAAAAAUAUUGGUUAGGAAUUCUCUAAAAUUCAUUCACCAAACGAUUCAUUCAUCAAUGUCAAAGCUUAUUUUGUUAUAAAAUGAUUUUUAUUAUCAUUUUCUAUGAUUUUCAUAUUACCAUAGUCUACAGAUUUUAUUAAAUUCUUUAUUGCAUAAAUAAUUUAUUCUUUUAUAAAUAUUUCAUCAAUGAUUAUGUCAAAAUUAAUUUUGUGGUGGAAUUCAAUUUUUUUGGAAAUAUUUUUGCAUCAAAUUAGGAGAAACAACGACAAUUCGAUAUUAUGGUUAUUACGUCCAAACAUAAUGUGAAAAGAGAGUGAGAGAUUUAUAUCGAAAACAGAACUAAUAUAUUGAAAUUCCUUGUUCUUGGAAGGAAUGUUAAAAAUUACGGCCUCAAAAUAGCUUUAUUUUCAAUGGAACAUAUAUAAAGAAAGGGCUAACUGUGAGGUACUUCUCUGUUUGUAGACUAUACCUAAUUGCAGUAGCGACUUUAGAGAAAAAAAGGGUUGUCAAAGUCCUAAAUAGUUAUUACGCUAUUAAUAUUUCACUUCUUAAAUACACUGACUCACGAAAGUGUUUAAACGAUUGGUAUUGAACCUUUAAAGAAUAAAAAUAUGUAUAUUAGUCUUAAGAUCUGAAAGUAAUGUUGCAACUACUAUAAGACAAACUAUCGAGAUUAUGUAUACAAAAUUUGAAGUGAAUCGGAUAAUUGUAGAAGUUAUUAAACAUACUACUUAUAAUACUACAACGAAUAGCUUACGAGUGAUUUGAAAUCAUCAUGUUAUAAAACUCACCCUGCAUUCACAUAUAAAGAGAAAAUGAUAGAAAAAUUCUUACUCACAUUGCCGAUCAUAUGUAUUACAUAAUAAUUAUUAUUUCCAGGAGAUAGUACGAAUUUUUGGAGAAAUUUAUACUUGUUCGUUGGUAUUCCAGCUACUUUUAUGAGUUUGUUGAAUUGCUGUCUAAGCGAGGGAGAGCAUAGAAAACAAAAA